AAUAGAUACCCGGGUAGUCCACGCCGUAAACGAUGGAUACUAGCUGUUUGAGCGCAAGUUUGAGUGGCUAAGCGAAAGUGAUAAGUAUCCCACCUGGGGAGUACGGGCGCAAGCCUGAAACUCAAAGGAAUUGACGGGGGCCCGCACAAGCGGUGGAGCAUGUGGUUUAAUUCGAUGAUACGCGAGGAACCUUACCAGGGCUUAAAUGUAGAUUGACGUAUUUGGAAACAGAUAUUUCUUCGGACAAUUUACAAGGUGCUGCAUGGUUGUCGUCAGCUCGUGCCGUGAGGUGUCAGGUUAAGUCCUAUAACGAGCGCAACCCCUGUUGUUAGUUGCCAGCGAGUAAUGUCGGGAACUCUAGCAAGACUGCCAGUGUAAACUGUGAGGAAGUGGGGAUGACGUCAAAUCAUCACGGCCCUUACGUCCUGGGCCACACACGUGCUACAAUGGCCGGUACAGAGAGCAGCCACUUAGCGAUAAGGAGCGAAUCUAUAAAGCCGGUCACAGUUCGGAUCGGAGUCUGCAACG
rnacentral:rRNA from 1 species